rnacentral:rRNA from 1 species
AGCAGCCGCGGUAAUUCCAGCUCCAAUAGCGUAUAUUAAAGUUGUUGCAGUUAAAAAGCUCGUAGUUGAAUUUCGGGGUCAGUAGGUUGGUCAUGCCACAGGUAUGUACUGAUCUUACUGAUUCCUCCUUCCUGAUGAACCGUAAUGCCAUUAAUUUGGUGUUGCGGGGAAACUGGACUGUUACUUUGAAAAAAUUAGAGUGUUUAAAGCAGGCUAACGCUUGAAUACAUUAGCAUGGAAUAAUGAAAUAGGACGUUCGAUCCUAUUUUGUUGGUUUCUAGGAUUGACGUAAUGAUUAAUAGGGAUAGUUGGGGGCAUUAGUAUUCAAUUGUCAGAGGUGAAAUUCUUGGAUUUAUUGAAGACUAACUACUGCGAAAGCAUUUGCCAAGGAUGUUUUCAUUAAUCAAGAACGAAAGUUAGGGGAUCGAAGACGAUCAGAUACCGUCGUAGUCUUAACCAUAAACUAUGCCGACUAGGGAUCGGAUGAUGUUAAUUUUAUAAUGACUCA